rnacentral:tRNA from 1 species
AAGACUUUAAGUUAAUGAAACUAAUAACCUUCAAAGUUGUAAUUAAAAUUAUAUUUUAAGUCUUAG